UGAAGACAAGUCUUGAUGAGGGACUCAGAUGUGAGUCAUCAGUAGCUGUCAUCCCUUGAAGCUCUGAAAUUAAAAAUGAACAGAUCAACCUUUUACUCUUCUCUGAAAAAUAUAGUGAAAUUAAUAAUCAAGAACGAUUUUCUGAAAUGAAAACAUCCGAACAGCAUACUGCAAAGACAUUCAGGGGAAAAUAAAAUAGGUGAUCAUCUGUUGGUCAAGCUGAAUUUAGAAUUUCUCUUUGGAAUCGUCUUCUGACCCUGCAGCACAUUCUUUUGAUGGUCCUUCGUAUGAACUCAUCAUUAAUGUUGAAAAUGGGAUUUAAUUUUUAGAAACAAUCCAGUUAUUUGAAGUAUGGUGACUAAUGAGUAUUUUAUCUUUUCCAUUGUGUAGCAAAACAAAACAAAGCAAAAUAAGAGUAAAGUGAAGUAAAGCAAAAUAAAAUAGGUAGAUGAGUCUUCUUAGUCAUAAAUUGAAGGCUACACCAAAAGAAGAGUUUCCCAAAUAUGAGCAAGGACAGUGUCAUUGAAUAAGCAUAUAACAUGCUAAAUUAACUAUUCUGAAAGUCAGCUUUUCUUGAAGGUACAUGUUUGGCCAUUCUUGUUAUUGUACAUGUAAACCUCAUCUAUUAUAAUUUCUGGUUAAGAGUUCAGAGGAGGAUUUUAUGAGUUUUGUUUUUAGCAAAAGAAACCACCUCUGACUAAUUCAGCUAGUGAUCAACCAUAACCCCAGAUCCCUUACACUGUAUUUGUCCAUAGCCACUGAUUCCCCAUUUUUCAUUGUGUACUGUCUCUGCCCAAUUACCCACACUAAUGGAGAAGAGCAGCGGUGCAGAUAAUCUCAAGUAGCAGAUGAUGCAAACACAUUUCAUUUUUUGUUUUGUUUUGGAAUGCAGUGUAUGACUAUUUUUACAGAAGGCGUACACAUUCCUAUUUAUAGCUGGCUUAGGCUGUGGUCAAAAGUGAUGUGCCUAUUCUCACAUUCACUGCUACAGCAGUAGAAAAAGUCAUCCAGGAGCAAGCAUGGCAUUGAGGAGCAGCUGGCUAAUAGCUGGUCAGUAUCGAAACUGCAUCAAGAAUAGUUAAACAUGAUCAUUGCCUUAUGCAGUUUAUUAAAGUUGGUUUCUGUGUGCCUGCUUUCAAUACACUGACUACUUUACAUUUUCCUUUAUGUACAUCGUUUGCUGCAGCCAAACUGAAAUACGGUUUCAUUCAUUCAUUUUCUUUCAUUCAUUCAUUUGCUUAAUAAAAAUAUAUUGAGCACUAUCUGUCAAUUAUUAUUAUAGGCACCAAAGAGAAAAAUAAACAAAACCAAAAUUCUAAUCUUGCCCUGAUACUUUUCUAAAAUAAUUCCCUCUGCCUGAUAUUCCCUCACCUUCCGCUCUGGACACUCUGGGGACAUCUCUUUUUCCUUUUCAAACCUGCUAAUUUCCAUUUGGAAUCCAGAUGCAUCGGGAGACGUGGCUCCUCUAAGAGGUGUAGCUGUUAAGCAUGUGACCCAGGUCAGUCAAACACAGUGAACCCCAGGACUUUCGCGAGGAAUCCCCAGACACUUGUGCUCUACUCUGCCCUGGAUUCUGAAGAAUGUUGGUGUGAGCAUAGAAACUGCUGCAAUGACAAUAUCACCAUGAAAGGAGAUUACUGAUUUGUAGCCAGGGUUGAUCCACAAUUAGCAAAGCUGAAAGAAAAAGUCCAGAAACAUAGUUAGAGGUUUUCUGUUACUUACAAAUAAAAACAU
rnacentral:lncRNA from 1 species